rnacentral:rRNA from 1 species
GACUCUCGGCAACGGAUAUCUCGGCUCACGCAUCGAUGAAGAACGUAGCAAAAUGCGAUACUUGGUGUGAAUUGCAGAAUCCCGUGAACCAUCGAGUUUUUGAACGCAAGUUGCGCCCGAAGCCWUUCGGCCGAGGGCACGUCUGCCUGGGCGUCACGC